GUGCUCACUUUGGCAGCACAUAUACUAAAAUUGGAAUGAUACAGAGAAGACUAACAUCGCCCCUGAGCAAGGAAGACACACAAAUUCGUGAAGUGUUCCAUGUUUAA
ensembl:snRNA U6 U6 spliceosomal RNA